AUUUUUCUACACAGUUUAUACUACCGUUUGCCACCGCUUCUCCUAUUUUCUUCUUCCUUCCUCUUAUUUCUCGUUUCUGCUUCAGACUCACUGCCACUCGCGCCAUGGGUGAUUUAUCUCAACUUCUCGAAGCAGCUUCUGAUUUCAGUCACUACCCAGGGGUGCAAAGCGAUGAUUCCGCUAGGGACUUUCUCAAUCGCUUCCCUCUUACUCUCAUUAUCAAUGCACUACAGACUAACGUUGACGUGCCUGACCUAGAAAAUACUCUUGUUGCAUGCCUUGAUAAGCUAUUCAAUACGAAGUUGGGAGCUUCUUUGAUCCCGCAGUAUAUGCCUUUUGUUCAAGUUGGUCUGCAGGCAGAAUCUCAAGCAGUCAGAUCCUUAUCUUGCAAAACAGUAAGUCGCCUUCUAGAGAAUGUUGACAAUGAUGACAAAGUUGCUGCUAGUGUUCGUCUAAUUAAAGACUUCAACAUAUAUCCUCUUUUGCUUGAUUGCAUCAUAAAUGGUGAUGAACAAGUGGCAGCUGUAGCAGCAGAUGCAAUAACAAAGUUAGCUAGUUUUCCUGAAGGCAUGGAAAUUAUAUUUCCAUCAGGAAAAGUAGGUGAGACAGAUCUGGAGCUUAUAGCAUCACAAUGUUCAUCACUGGGUCGAGUUCGUGUACUGGCACUGGUGGUUAAGCUUUUUUCUGUAUCUAGGUCGGCAGCGUCCACUGUUUAUAGCUUAAAUCUACUUAAGUUGUUGGAAGCAGAACUCAGAAAUGCUGACGAUACCCUUGUAACUUUAAGUGUAUUGGAACUUCUAUAUGAGUUGGCAGCAAUCGAACAUAGUACAGAAUUUUUGUCAAAGACUAGCCUCAUUGAAUUGCUUUCGUCAAUAAUUAGCAACAAUUCUGUGGAAUCAAUUUUAAGAUCACGAGCAAUGAUGAUAUGUGGAAGGCUUGUGCCCAAGGACAUUAUACACUCCUUCACUAACGAACCUUGUGUUAAAGCUGUUAUUGCAUCUAUUGAUGGUAGACUUCAGUCAUUGGAUCCUUCAGAUAUAGAUGAAUGUGAAACUGCACUUGAAUCAUUGGGUCAUAUAGGAUCAUCUACCCAGGGGGCCACAUUAUUACUCUCAGGUUCAUCACCUGCUGCAAGACAUGUUAUAGAUGCUGCUUUUGAACGACAAGGGCCACAAGGACAUGGUAAACAGCUGCAAGAGGGCUUUCCAAGCAAGGCACGUGGAGUGCACAUGUUGAUACUGGUGGUUGCAUGUGAUAGUGUGCGGGCAAACUCUAUUUUGACGAGGCAGCAAAAGCUGCAUUACAUGCUCUCGGAAACAUCUCGGGAGAAACUAGAUCUAAGAAUAAUAUCAUACUCAAUGCUGAAGCAGAAGAAAAUCUGCGACGCUUAAUUUAUGAAACAGCCACCAGAAGUUCAAAACUGACUCCAUCGGGUCUGUUUCUGUCAGUAUUGCAGCAGGAUGCAGAAAUACGUCUAGCGGUCUAUAGAGUGAUAAGUGGAUUGGUUGCCCGACCAUGGUGCUUGAUGGAGAUAUGCUCAAAAGAUGAUAUUAUAAACAAAGUGACUAAUCCAACUGUUGAAACCACUAAAAUAGGUAUGGAAGCCCGAUAUAACUGCUGCAAGGCUAUAUACCAAACUCUGACACUUUCUGAUAGUGUUUCUGCUUUUACAGAUAUAUAUGCAAAGUUGGAGAAAGCAGUUAGAAUGGAUCCAUACCUUGUUAAGAGCCAUGGUGAACCUCAACCUGUUGUGGAGACUGCCGAAAGAUUUUAAUAUAUAAAUGUCACUGACUAGGCAAUGUUUUUUUCCUUCGCCAAGUUCUUUGUUCAACUUUAGCAAAUUGUUUUUUUUUCUUCUUUUGUUGUGUUUUUGUAUGACCUGCAAAUAAUAGGAGUUUUAGUAUUUUUGUUGAGUGGGAGUCGGACGUGAAGAUUUGUAUUGUUUUUUUUUACGCUUGUAGUGUCAAAUUUUUACAGAAGUAUGUCAUGGUAGAUUUUCAACAAAUUGAGUUUUUAUGGA